ACGGUGAGCUGCCUCUUGGAGGACGCUUUCUUUCUGUAUGCGCCACAGAAACCCUCCUCACACUUUUCAUAGCCCCCGCCUCUCCUCUCUACCUUGCCGUUUCUCUCCUCCCUGUCUUAUCCCUCCUCCUCUCUCUGCGCCCUCGUUUUCUUGUGGUUUGCAAUACGAGACAAGGUGUUGCCACCUGCAGUGGCAGUGCGUCUUAUAUGUACAUAUGCACGUAUAUUCAUUCUUGUCUGGAUCUCUGGCGUAAGCGAAACGAGAAGGCGACAGCUGGUUACGUCGAUCUCCCUCUUCUUAGUUUCGUCCUUCGCCGUUGCCUCCACCGGCGUUAUUGGCCCUGGAGGUGCAGUGCGUAUGUGUGGACCUCAAGAGCGCAUACGUGCACCUUGGAAUUCGCCAUCUCGCACUUCUGUCUCACACGUCUGCAUUCUAUUCCCUGCAUGUUCUCCCUUCUUAUGUCGGAGCACCGUCUUUCUCUUGUUUCCCCUUCUCUGUGUCUAUGUAGCUCUCGUGGUGCGUGUGUGCUGCCCACGUCUUGUGCACGCUUUUACUUCUCUGGCUCCUUCUCCGCCGCCUGAUCGGCGCAUCAGCGCCGCCCUUUCACGUGCACGCUCGUUUUCUUCUGUUUUCUCGUUUCAUUUUUUUUUUCUGACUGAUCUCUCCGCCUAAGUGCAGCCUGUGCUAUUCUGCUCGUCCUCCCCUUGCUGCUACUGCUGCUGCUGCCCCACCUCCUUGUGUGCCUCUGUGCGUGUGUAUUGUCCUUCUCGUCUCCACUGUCUUUGCCACGCAGCCCAAACACCGCAUACGGCACGCCAUCGCGAUGGGCUCUGGCUUCAGCACGGCAAGCGCUGGCGACACCAGCGCGCCCCUGCCGCCGUGUCCGCUCUUCUACAACUUCAUGCCCGACAAUCAACUCAUCCCUGCAUCUACGCUGCCGAUGCGUGGCCCAGGUGGAACGGUGCGCCGUCCGCAAGGCGGGUGCGCGGCACGGGUCAUUCCGCUCUGCAGCUUGCCGGUUGUAUCGGAGAAGUCGAGGAAGGACGCGAAGAAAAUUGUUGCCGAUGCCAAGAGGAACAAGAAACGCGGCAGCGACAGUACCGCAGAGGAGGUAGAGGCAAGGGCCGUUGCCGCCGCAAACGCUCUCCUCAGAAACCCUAGCCUCCUCCCGUCACUCAGCUCGUGCUUCCUCCUCAACAUCGCUGUGGAUGAGCAAGGCCGACUCGUCCCGCUGCUGACAAACGACGAGUAUGCAGUGAACACCAUGGCCGGCUUCAAUGACACCGGCGCUGGCGGCCCGGGCAGCUCAUGCUGGAAUCCGCUGAAGUCUCCGCGCUCGAGCUUUUUGAAGAAGGGGUUCAACUUUUCCACCACCAACAGUCCAGUGCGCACCCCAAUGCUUCCAGGAGCGGCCAGCGAUCGUGGCGACUCCCUCACGAGUGGCGCCGAGAGAUCGUCGCAAGGCGGCGAAAACGGAGCGGCGGCAAAUCAGCUAGUCUCGACACUGUUACCGUCCACAACAGCCGCGGUGAACGCGGUGGGUCGCUCAGCAGGGGCGGCACCGCCACCCGAUCCUCCGUCUCCGCAGUGCAGCAAGAGGCAGCCAAAGCGGCGCAGCCGCACCAAAAAAGGUGGCGGCGAUGGCGCGCAGCCCGCCUUGUCAAAGGCACCCGAGAAGCUGAUCUCUACCUUCGCCAUUGCUCCAGCACCGUCGUCUAGCGUUGGCCCAGCUAGAAUUGUGUGUGACACGACUACGGAUGACGAGCAGGACGUGUCGCUAGCCACCCCCUCGGUGUGCUCUGUGCUUGUGAAGGACAGCCAUUUCCGAAAGUCCGAGGAUGGCCAAGGCGGGGCAAGCGCCUCGGUAGCGCCGGCUUUGUGGAACGGAGGUGUCAGUGGCGUCGAUAGUGUUAGCCCGCAGCGCAUGCGCCGCCAGCUUUCGCGCAUCACGCUCCUCCGCGUGUCAGAACGGACGCGGUGGCUGUUGUUUAACGAUAGCGGCACCCACGAGGCGCAGGUGUCGGUACUGCUGUGCUACCGGGCGCAGAAGGAGAAGUCCACGAGCCCGAUGAAGCCCAUCGCUGGGGAGGAGGCACCGAUGAAACCGUCUGGCAGGACCGAAACAGCAUCAACACCGGCCCCUGGAGACUUGCGGGUGCUUUGUUGCCCGAGGCCGCUCUCGCACACUUCUCUCUCCACCAAUAAGAAGGAGCUGCAGUCGCAGGGCACGUCUAGUAGCAGCCGCAGCUACGUGGAAGUGCGUCCGGUUCUUGUGGAGGCAUUCACAGCUGCGAUUCCUGCCCCAACGACGCCUGUGGAGGAGCAUCAGCUUGCGGAGUUCAAGAAGAACGUCGCUGGUGCGGCGGCUGUGGAGGUAUUCGUGGUGCUCGCGCCAGGGGCGACGGUAUACUUGGCGGAAGGUGACGUGCUUGGUUACAGGUUAGACACGCUCCUCGUGCCCUUCGACGCAUCACGCAGCAUGGCAGUAUUGGGCAGCAUGCUCACACCCAAGAUGGUGUGCCGUCUCAAGAAGAAGAGUAAAGCGGCGAGUAAGAAGGGAUACCGGCACACGUUGAUGUUCUUGGCGAAAGCAGCAGCGCCGGCAGUCGGCGCCGCGCCUGCACCCAGAUCCGGUCCUGCUGUCGCUCGCCUCACAGGCAGUGCCAUGGCCACGCUGCCCAAAGCCGCUACUAGCGGAGCACCAAAACACACUCAUAUCAUCCCACCUCUCUCGGCAGACACGCUGAACGCUGCGCCACCCGACCUGAAGCAGUCCACCGUCUUCGAGGCCCCAGCGGAGGCUCUGAUCGAUGCCACUAGGAGGGCUGAUGACGCGGAAGCGACGACGUCUGCUACACCACCCCAACACCCCCCGCCAUCCUCGUUGCCUGCGCCUGAGACAGCCGCGAAGGGUGAAGCUGCUGCUGCUGCUGCUGGGGAGAUCGGUGCGCAGCGCCGUCUGUCACUUCGGAGCCACCGCGGAAAAGAGGAGGAGAGCGGGAAUAGGGAAAACCAGUGCGUUGGAGCGGCCGCGAACCCCUAUAGCUUCGGUGCACCGGCUACUGUGCCAAGCACAGCGGCCGCCGCUUCACAGAGUUUAGGCUGCGGUGCUGCUGACGCAGCGCCGGAAGCUGCUGCCACUCUUCCAGCGUGGUCUGCAGCAGAUGCGAAAGCCGCGCGUGCAGGCUAUAUGAGUAGCGCAGCUGGGGUGCCGGUGCUGGACCUCAAAAGCUUAGCAGCCAGCUCGGACAAGGACCGCUCUGCACCCCGCGGUGACGCCUCUGUGGAGAGUAGCGAGUGGAAGAGCACCGGUACCCAACCACUCGACAUCGCCUUCUAGGAAGAAGCAGCGGGGGGAGGACGUCCACAGACAUGUCGGAUGCACACAUCUGCUUGUUUGCCCCUUUCGCUCGCGAUGAAAGCGAUAAUACACGUGUGGCGCUUAGCGCGGCAGUAACGGUCUGUGCAUGCGUGUGUCUGCGUGGGCGUGUGUGCGUCUGUCUAUCCUUGUAGCCACCCUCUCCCUUCUUCAUGCGUGCUUUCCCUCGCCACCGCGUGCGUACACGCGUCUACAGCUGUGUGCGCGCGUGUGUGUGCAUGUGUGCUUGCCCAAACCACCUUUCUUGGAGAAGAAACAAAGAAGUGCGAUUUGGGGAUCGGUGCUGACUCAUGCUGGUUGCUGGCGCGCACGUGGCGGCUUCUACAGCAGCCAUCACCUUUUCUUCCUCCCCUUUUCUCUCUUCGGCCUUUAUUCUUUCGUUUUUUUUUUUCUCCGGCUCUCCCCUUUUCUCUCCAAUUCUGCCUAG
rnacentral:misc_RNA from 1 species